rnacentral:snRNA from 1 species
GCGCUCACUUUAGCAACACAAAUACUAAAACUGGAGCUUUACAGAGAUUAGCAUGUCCCCUACAAAAGGACGACCCGCACAUUCGCAAAGCGUUCUAUGCUUUA